GCUCCCUUUGGCAGCACAUACACUGAAGUAGAUACAGAUACUGAGAAGAUUAGCAUGGCCUGCAGAAGGAAGACACGGAAGUUCGUGAAAUAUUCUCUAUUAGA